GCGUCCGUGGCCAAGCGGUUAAGGCAGUCCCCUGCAGAGGGACGGGUCGGGGGUUCAAAUCCCUCCGGGCGCU
rnacentral:tRNA from 1 species